rnacentral:rRNA from 1 species
AUGAACGCUAGCUACAGGCUUAACACAUGCAAGUCGAGGGGCAGCAUGGUCUUAGCUUGCUAAGGCCGAUGGCGACCGGCGCACGGGUGAGUAACACGUAUCCAACCUGCCGUCUACUCUUGGACAGCCUUCUGAAAGGAAGAUUAAUACAAGAUGGCAUCAUGAGUCCGCAUGUUCACAUGAUUAAAGGUAUUCCGGUAGACGAUGGGGAUGCGUUCCAUUAGAUAGUAGGCGGGGUAACGGCCCACCUAGUCUUCGAUGGAUAGGGGUUCUGAGAGGAAGGUCCCCCACAUUGGAACUGAGACACGGUCCAAACUCCUACGGGAGGCAGCAGUGAGGAAUAUUGGUCAAUGGGCGAGAGCCUGAACCAGCCAAGUAGCGUGAAGGAUGACUGCCCUAUGGGUUGUAAACUUCUUUUAUAAAGGAAUAAAGUCGGGUAUGCAUACCCGUUUGCAUGUACUUUAUGAAUAAGGAUCGGCUAACUCCGUGCCAGCAGCCGCGGUAAUACGGAGGAUCCGAGCGUUAUCCGGAUUUAUUGGGUUUAAAGGGAGCGUAGAUGGAUGUUUAAGUCAGUUGUGAAAGUUUGCGGCUCAACCGUAAAAUUGCAGUUGAUACUGGAUAUCUUGAGUGCAGUUGAGGCAGGCGGAAUUCGUGGUGUAGCGGUGAAAUGCUUAGAUAUCACGAAGAACUCCGAUUGCGAAGGCAGCCUGCUAAGCUGCAACUGACAUUGAGGCUCGAAAGUGUGGGUAUCAAACAGGAUUAGAUACCCUGGUAGUCCACACGGUAAACGAUGAAUACUCGCUGUUUGCGAUAUACUGCAAGCGGCCAAGCGAAAGCGUUAAGUAUUCCACCUGGGGAGUACGCCGGCAACGGUGAAACUCAAAGGAAUUGACGGGGGCCCGCACAAGCAGUGGAGUAUGUGGUUUAAUUCGAAGCAACGCGAAGAACCUUACCAAGGCUUGACAUAUACAGGAAUAUUUAAGAGAUUAAAUAGCUCUUCGGAGUCUGUAUACAGGUGGUGCAUGGUUGUCGUCAGCUCGUGCCGUGAGGUGUCGGCUUAAGUGCCAUAACGAGCGCAACCCUUGUUGUCAGUUACUAACAGGUUCCGCUGAGGACUCUGACAAGACUGCCAUCGUAAGAUGUGAGGAAGGUGGGGAUGACGUCAAAUCAGCACGGCCCUUACGUCCGGGGCUACACACGUGUUACAAUGGGGGGUACAGAGGGCCGCUACCACGCGAGUGGAUGCCAAUCCCCAAAACCUCUCUCAGUUCGGACUGGAGUCUGCAACCCGACUCCACGAAGCUGGAUUCGCUAGUAAUCGCGCAUCAGCCACGGCGCGGUGAAUACGUUCCCGGGCCUUGUACACACCGCCCGUCAAGCCAUGGGAGCCGGGGGUACCUGAAGUGCGUAACCGCGAGGAGCGCCCUAGGGUAAAACUGGUGACUGGGGCU